CCGUGCUGGACGGGGAGGUAGCGGUGCCCUGAACCUGCAACCCGCUAGAGCAGGGUCGAACUCCUACCCCCGGCCCUUGGCCUUUCAGGGUUUGCCUCCGGUAAGUGGUGAGGAAGCUCUGGUCCUGUGCGGCGCAAUUCCAUGAACCCCGUCAGGUCCGGGAGGAAGCAGCGGUAAGUGGAUCAUUGCGGGUGCCACGGGGGUGCUGGAGCAGAGCAAACUGCCGGGGUUCCGCCUGGGGGGCGGGGUCAAAGGUAGGUGCACGG
rnacentral:SRP_RNA from 1 species